UGACUNGAGUGCAGAAGGGGAGAGUGGAAUUCCAUGUGUAGCGGUGAAAUGCGUAGAUAUAUGGAGGANCACCAGUGGCGAAAGCGGCUCUCUGGUCUGUCACUGACGCUGAGGCUCGAAAGCGUGGGUAGCGAACAGGAUUAGAUACCCUGGUAGUNCACGCCGUAAACGAUGAGUGCUAGGUGUUAGGCCCUUUCCGGGGCUUAGUGCCAGAGCUAACGCAAUAAGCACUCCGCCUGGGGAGUACGACCGCAAGGUUGAAACUCAAAGGAAUUGACGGGGGCCCGCACAAGCGGUGGAGCAUGUGGUUUAAUUCGAAGCAACGCGAAGAACCUUACCAGGUCUUGACAUCCCGAUGCUAUUCUUAGAGAUAGGAAGUUACUUCGGUACAUCGGAGACAGGUGGUGCAUGGUUGUCGUCAGCUCGUGUCGUGAGAUGUUGGGUUAAGUCCCGCAACGAGCGCAACCCUUAUUGUUAGUUGCCAUCAUUAAGUUGGGCACUCUAGCGAGACUGCCGGUAAUAAACCGGAGGAAGGUGGGGAUGACGUCAAAUCAUCAUGCCCCUUAUGACCUGGGCUACACACGUGCUACAAUGGUCGGUACAACGAGUUGCGAGCCGGUGACGGCAAGCUAAUCUCUGAAAGCCGAUCUCAGUUCGGAUUGGAGGCUGCAACUCGCCUCCAUGAAGUCGGAAUCGCUAGUAAUCGCGGAUCAGCACGCCGCGGUGAAUACGUUCCCGGGCCUUGUACACACCGCCCGUCACACCACGAGAGUUUGUAACACCCGAAGUCGGUGAGGUAACCUUUUAGGGGCCAGCC
rnacentral:rRNA from 1 species